GAUGAACGCUAGCAGCAGGCCUAAUACAUGCAAGUCGAGGGGUAGAAGAGGCUUGCUUCUUUGAGACCGGCGCACGGGUGCGUAACGCGUAUGCAACCUACCUUCAUCUGGGGGAUAGCCCGGAGAAAUCCGGAUUAAUACCGCAUAAAAUCACAGGAUGGCAUUAUCCAAUGAUCAAACAUUUAUGGGAUGGAGAUGGGCAUGCGUGUCAUUAGCUAGUUGGCGGGGUAACGGCCCACCAAGGCGACGAUGACUAGGGGAUCUGAGAGGAUGGCCCCCCACACUGGAACUGAGACACGGACCAGACUCCUACGGGAGGCAGCAGUAAGGAAUAUUGGUCAAUGGAGGCAACUCUGAACCAGCCAUGCCGCGUGCAGGAAGACUGCCCUAUGGGUUGUAAACUGCUUUCAUUCGGGAAUAAACCUUAUUACGUGUAAUAAGCUGAAUGUACCGAAGGAAUAAGGAUCGGCUAACUCCGUGCCAGCCGCCGCAGUAA
rnacentral:rRNA from 1 species